rnacentral:rRNA from 1 species
AUUGAACGCUGGCGGCAGGCCUAACACAUGCAAGUCGAACGGUAACAGAAUGCGGCUUUCUGCUUUGCUGACGAGUGUCGGACGGGUGAGUGAUGUCUGGGAAACUGCCCUAUUUAGGGGGAUAACUACUGGAAACGCUAGCUCAUACCGCAUAACGUCGCAAGGCCAAAGAGGGGGACCUUAGGGCCUCUUGCCCUCGGAUGUGCGCAGAUGGGAUUAGCUAGUAGGUGGGGUAACGGCUCACCUAGGCGACGAUCCCUAGCUGGUCUGAGAGGAUGAUCAGCCACACUGGAACUGAGACACGGUCCAGACUCCUACGGGAGGCAGCAGUGGGGAAUAUUGGACAAUGGGCGCAAGCCUGAUGCAGCCAUGCCGCGUGGGUGAAGAAGGCCUUCGGGUUGUAAAGUACUUUUAGCGGGGAAGAAGAGAAGAAAGUUAAUACCUUGCUGCAUUGACGGUACCCGAAGAAGAAGCACCGGCUAACUCCGUG